GUGGGGAAUAUUGGGCAAUGGGGGGAACCCUGACCCAGCAACGCCGCGUGAGGGAAGAAGGUUUUCGGAUCGUAAACCUCUGUCCCAGGUGAAGAGCAAGAGACGGUAACCUGGGAGGAAGCCCCGGCUAACUACGUGCCAGCAGCCGCGGUAAUACGUAGGGGGCGAGCGUUGUCCGGAAUGAUUGGGCGUAAAGGGCGCGUAGGCGGCCCGGUAAGUCUGGAGUGAAAGUCCUGCUUUUAAGGUGGGAAUUGCUUUGGAUACUGUCGGGCUUGAGUGCAGGAGAGGUAAGUGGAAUUCCCAGUGUAGCGGUGAAAUGCGUAGAGAUUGGGAGGAACACCAGUGGCGAAGGCGACUUACUGGACUGUAACUGACGCUGAGGCGCGAAAGUGUGGGGAGCAAACAGGAUUAGAAACCCUAGUAGUCC
rnacentral:rRNA from 1 species